rnacentral:lncRNA from 1 species
AGGCCUUCAUGAACAAUACGGUUUGUACAGGUUGGGUUUGUCCAAGGCCUUCAUGAACAAUACGGUUUGUACAGGUUGGGUUGGUCCAAGGCCUUCAUGAACAAUACGGUUUGUACGGGUUGGGUUGGUCCAAGGCCUUCAUGAACAAUACGGUUUGUACAGGUUGGGUUGGUCCAAGGCCUUCAUGAACAAUACGGUUUGUACGGGUUGGGUUGGUCCAAGGCCUUCAUGAACAAUACGGUUUGUACGGGUUGGGUUGAUCCAAGGCCUUCAUGAACAAUACGGUUUGUACAGGUUGGGUUGGUCCAAGGUCUUCAUGAACAAUAAGGUUUGUACAGGUUGGGUUGAUCCAAGGCUUUCAUUCAAAAAGUUUUACGUUCAGCAGUUUUUCUUGAUUCU